CAGCCGCCACGGGAAUACGUAGGUGGCAAGCGUUGUCCGGAAUUAUUGGGUGUAAAGGGCUCGCAGGCGGUUUCUUAAGUCUGAUGUGAAAGCCCCCGGCUCAACCGGGGAGGGUCAUUGGAAACUGGGAAACUUGAGUGCAGAAGAGGAGAGUGGAAUUCCACGUGUAGCGGUGAAAUGCGUAGAGAUGUGGAGGGACACCAGUGGCGAAGGCGACUCUCUGGUCUGUAACUGACGCUGAGGAGCGAAAGCGUGGGGAGCGAACAGGAUUAGAUACCCGCGUAGUCCCUGUCUCUUAUAC
rnacentral:rRNA from 1 species